UGAAGGUAUAGGAGUCAAAUUGUUAGCAACGAAGUUGCUUAAGAAAAACGUAUAUUUUAUUUAUAAUGUACGAAACAUUAAUAAGAAUACUAAUUGUGUGUUGACAAGACUUUAAAGUAAUUUUUAAGUCUCCAAGUAAAAAAGCACAGAUGUGACAUAAAUAUAAAUUUGAGUGAAAGGAAAGCCAGGAGGCAACUGAAAGCUGAUAGAAAAUUUUGUAUUUCAGAUUCAGAGAACAUAGAAUUGCCAGAUGACCAGAGUCAUCCUACAUAUGCAAUGGUCAUCUUGAAGCAGGAUGCUGAGGAGGCCAGGGUGGUGGCGUGUCAGCAGUGAGUACCAGUAUCUGAUUUAAUAAAACUGAUGCUUAGGCAGGAAACUCAAAGAGAGCUGAUGCAUUAUCUGUGUAGUUUCUGAGCAUUUAAACCUGUAUUUUGUGCAUGCUUUGUAUUGUGGGAUGCAUACUUAUACCUAGUGGCAGUUGGUUGCACAUGGCUGGAUCAUCGGUGCCUCUGCCAUCAUCCUCAUUGCAGUCGUCCGGCUGGGGUACAUGAAGUGCUUCAUUGCGUCUCUACACGUCCUCUCAGCGCUUGCUCUGACGGGUCCCCACCAGAACUUCACAGUUAAGAGCUGCAGAAGGGUGGAGCUUGAUGACCAGUUCAGAUAUAUAUUCCCAGUAGCCUUUAGAGAUUUCCACUUGUUAACCAGUUGACAACUGCCAGGGGCACUUUUAGAAUAAUUGCCCUGAACAUUGCGAGGAUCACUGGCAGUACAAUACUGGUUAACUUAGUUCCUUGAUCCAAUUAUUAGUUUCACCUGUUCACUGGUUUCUUGCACCAAUUCUUGUGCGUUCUACCUGAUUGGUUAAUUGUUUCAUCUCACUCCUCCUGCUUCGUUACCCGGCUCGGUUUGUGUAUUUAUGUUCCUGAGUUGGUCAUUAUGUAACAAGGUUAGAAGCUACUGUGUUGUAUUAUGAGUUUGCUAUGUUCCCUUGCCUCUUCCUACUCUCCAUGUUGCCUUAACAAUACGCUAGAACAGAGAGAGAACUUGGCAAAAACAAGAGAACCAGAUAACAGGGGGACAAAGCUACAGAAUGAACAAUACAGUCACUGCUCAUCGAUUUCCGUUCCUACAAAAAGGUCGCUAAGCGAAUUGGUUCAUAAGCGAGGAGCCACCCCUUACCGUUGUUUCAGGCAUACUGAACGAGUAGUGGGUUCGUGUAAACCAUCUUUAUUUUAAUGUCAUGUUUGCACCAUUCAUAACAUUAGUAUAUUUAUAAAUGUUUAUACAGUAGUGUACUAUUCCUCCUACGUGUUUUCUCUGUAUGUGACAGGUGAAAAUCUAUGAGUGAAAUUGCAAUAAACAAAACAGAAAAGA